rnacentral:rRNA from 1 species
CACGAACGCUGGCGGCGUGCCUAAUACAUGCAAGUCGAGCGGAAGUUGGAGAGCUUGCUCUUCAACUUUAGCGGCGGACGGGUGAGUAACACGUGGGCAACCUGCCCUGCAGAUCGGGAUAACUCCGGGAAACCGGUGCUAAUACCGAAUAGUUUUCGCCACCUCCUGGUGGCGUACGGAAAGACGGUUUCGGCUGUCACUGCAGGAUGGGCCCGCGGCGCAUUAGCUAGUUGGUGGGGUAACGGCCCACCAAGGCGACGAUGCGUAGCCGACCUGAGAGGGUGAGCGGCCACACUGGGACUGAGACACGGCCCAGACUCCUACGGGAGGCAGCAGUAGGGAAUCUUCCGGAAUGGACGAAAGUCUGACGGAGCAACGCCGCGUGAGUGACGAAGGUUUUCGGAUCGUAAAACUCUGUUGUGAGGGAAGAACAAGUACCACUUAACUACUGGUACCUUGACGGUACCUCACCAGAAAGCCACGGCUAACUACGUGCCAGCAGCCGCCGUAACAC